GCAGUACAGUAAAAAAGUAAAACGUUUCGUAUUUCGCGAGAAAAUACCCCAGCCUUGAAUCAAGCGACCGCGCCUCCCCGCCUCCUCCGCCGUGCCGUCCUCCCGGCACCGUGGCCUGCCCCCUCUCUGCCGCGCCCUCCUCCCCCGCACCGUCCAAGUCCUUCGUGCGCGUUUCGCCCACGCCGAGGCCCAGGCCACCGCGCUUCGUGCCCGGGCCGGCCGGCCGGCUCGAGCGCGCGCCGGAGGAGAGGAGGUCGGCUGGAGGGGAGCGACCAAUGUCGUGGUGGUCUCGCCGGCGAGCGACGGGAGAAGGGCGGAGAUGAUGCGUAGGAGGGCGAGGCGGCUGUGUGCAGGAGGCUUCCCGACGGAUUGGGGAGACGGCGCGAGGCAUCUUCGACGGCAUGGGCCGGGGCGCCGUGCUUCCUCAGAUUCGCGUUUUGAGUGUGUGUCCAGUUUGUCGCUUCCCUCGACGUCGACGGCUCCAUGAUCAGUCGUGUUCUCUUCCUACUAAGCCAUGAUGAGAUAUCACCGAGUUCGCCAGCGGAAGAAGAACAUCUCUCGAGUCGUCCAAUGUUUCCUGCGGCGGCUACACCAGAGGUUCAGUUCACAAGAGCAACCAAAAAGGUUCCAGAUUCAUCUCAUGGUGAGGAGUGAGCAUGUGAAUUAAUGUGUGCAUGAAGCUAGACACAGUUCUUAUCAAGUGGGUCUGAAGGAGUUGGGCAGUGGGUGGUUCCCAUCACACUCUGCUGUUGUUCAUACUUGGUUCAGCGAAAGUUCUUUUUCCGUGGAAAACCGGAGGAUUUCAGUUUGUUAGUGCUCGUAGAAUGUCAAAAGAAAGAUGGCAUAAGGAGGUUUAACCAAGAUGUCCUUUUGUUGGUUUUCCUGUGUAAUUAGCACUUACAAAUAUGGAGUACAGGUAGGAGAAUGCUACGGUUCUGCCUGCAUCUGAUGGGUGACGUGGCUCAGCCCAGCGGCUCUACAGAACCAUCAGAUAACCUGGGACGAUCAUGCCUCUUUGCUAGAGAAGAUUGUAGCUUAUGAAGUUUGUGUCUGACUCGCCAUUAGAUCAUUCAAUAUGCUAUCUUGUGGUUUAAUUGAUGAUUUCUUUUUCUUAGUUUUCAGGCUGUGUAUACAAUCAGAAAUCUAAUAGACUGGAGAGAAGGCUAGGUGUUUGCCACAUUGUUUCGGCUACUUCCAUCUGGCGAUUCCAGAUUACUAAUACAGUGACAAUCCUUCAGAUUUAGGGGAUACAAUGUCGGAUUACAUUAUGUGGAUGUAUUGAAGGCAAAAAUUCUUGUGGUGGAGGUAUCACGUGCUACCACUUUAUCAGUACAUAACCAACUUCCAUUCUUUAUAAAUAGCAACAAGCAGUUUUCAUCUCCAAGCAUAUUCAAAAGCGAAAACAAUUCUUUGUAUUGUUUAUCAAAACUGUAUGAUGAGAUAGUUCAGAGUGUUGGGCUAAAAUUGGUGAACACAAGUUUAUCAGAAACAAUAAGAAUUUGUCAUCAAGGAUCUAAGAGCUCUGGAAAUAUGUUGUUCUCCUCUUUUGAUUCUCCUUUCAGUACAUAAGAUUGCAGACUCUAAUUUAUUAGUAUAAGGAUGAAAUUAACUUUAAAUACCAUAAUGCACCUCUGUUUGGUUGGAUUCAAAGUGCAAUAAUGUACAGAACAUUAACUAUUACUCCCUCCUUGCGGAAAUAAGUGAAGCUGUUUUAAUUCAAAAUCUAAAACAUUGUCACUUAUUUCCGGAUGGAGGGAGUAUAUGAUUUCUUUAUCUGGUUGCUGCAUCCCCUUUAUCCAUCAAAAUCAGUGUUCUACAAUGCUCAUUUAUGUUGGUUGGAAAGAGGAUGACAACAGAGGCACAAUAAACUGCCGGCAUAUUAACAUCAUAUUGGCAUAGUUGCAGUGUGAAAAUCUCUCGAGCUAGAUCUUAAGUAGGUUGUGCCUCUUUUGUUGCCCGGUGCAACGCACGGGCAUUUGCACUAGUACUACUCAUAGGUGCAUCUCGCAGUCCUCACCGCCUCCCGAUAAAACCCCUCUCUUCCUCGCCCUCCUCUGCGAGCAAUUGCUCGUCGGAGUUCGUAAACUCCGGCAGCCGCUCCACACCGCUACGGGACGAGGCCGAGCCGGGGACAUUGCCCAACGGACUUCCCUCGUCGAUAUCUUCGCCAUCCACCUUCUACUUGACGACCGGAAGCUUCUUACACAACUCCGGCGACCUUCUUCCCUAACUCUGGCGACCAAUUCCGAUGAGCUCUCUCUAAAUCCCGCAAUUCUUUUUUCCAGAAAACUAUCCAAACUUCGGAAAUUCAUUUCUCCUAAACCGUAUGUCCGAUUUUAACAAAUAAGAUACCCCUGGAUAGUUGCGAACCUCUAGUUUAUUAUAAAAAUUAGAAAUCUCACUUUUGCGCAAAUUAAAAUUUAGUUUUGAUUUAAAUAUGAAUUUGAGUAAUUUUGCUAUAUCUUUUAUUCUGUAAAUCAUAUAAAAGUGUUUUAUAUAUGGUAGUUGGACCUUGGGACCUAACCUUUCUGAUGGAACUGAUGGAUUAGUUUUCCAACAUAGUUUAGAUGUUGUUUUAUAUUAACACCUUAAUGUGACCUUCUUUGGUCAUCAUUUAAAAACUUCGUUGAAAUAAAAAUUUAAUCCUAGGAUAAAUCUCUUAGGUUGAUCCCUAGAAAACCUCUCUGGUCGUUUGAACCACCACAAAAAUCUAGAGUUGCAAGAUUAAGAAUUUAAUUCUUUUAUCUUAAACUUAUGUCAUACCCAUUUCCAUUUAACACAAGUCAAAAUAUUUCGAUCGAACCCAUUAUAGACUUUGUUGUCGUAGAACCCGGUCACACAACCCUUCAAACCAAAUCCUCACUUAGUAUCAAUAUUAACCAAUCCUAGAAUAUGACUAUGUCAUAUUUUCUUCCAAUACCACAGCUCAUCCUAUAUUAACCCUAACCAUGCCCUAGAAAUUAUGAUAGUGGCAAUCAAAUAAUUUGUGUUGUUAUUUGGAUCUUCACUUGGAUUUUCAUUGUGUGUUGAAUGCUUGCUUGAAUCAUUGUUAUGUGAAUGUGGAUAUGCCGAGUGUCUUAAUUGAGUUAUUUAUCGCGUUAGAUUGCGACGAGUGUGAAGGUGAAUUCUACGAGGAGGUAGAACCCUCUGACUGCGAAACCGAAGGCAAGUUGCAAAUUGAUAAUGCUUCGACCUAUAUUUCCAUACUAUGCAUAUCUCUUUAAAUUUUAAUGGUAUGCAUGUUUUAUAAAGGUUUUACAAAGUAUUAUUUAUAGCUAGAGCCAUAGGUUCAAGACCGACCACCAUGCUUGGCCACGCUUGCA